CCCUUAGAUGUUCUGGGCCGCACGCGCGCUACACUGAUGCAUUCAACGAGUUUCUUCCUGGUCCGAGAGGAAUGGGUAACCUUUUGAAAGUGCAUCGGGAUAGGGAUAGACUAUUGCAAUUAUUGGUCUUCAACGAGGAAUUCCUAGUAGACGUAGUUCAUCAGACUGCAUCGAUUACGUCCCUGCCCUUUGUACACACCGCCCGUCGCUCCUACCGAUUGAAUGCUCAGGUGAGCCAUUCGGACCUUCAUCAUGCCGGUUUCCGGUUUUGAUGAGGGAAAGUCUUGCGAACCUUAUCAUUUAGAGGAAGGAGAAGUCGUAACA
rnacentral:rRNA from 1 species